CGCUGGCGGCACGCCUAACACAUGCAAGUCGAACGGAGAUUUGAGAGCUUGCUCUUAAAUCUUAGUGGCGGACGGGUGAGUAACACGUGAGCAACCUGCCUCUGAGAGAGGGAUAGCUUCUGGAAACGGAUGGUAAUACCUCAUAACAUUACAUGACCGCAUGAUCGUGUAAUCAAAGAUUUAUCACUCAGAGAUGGGCUCGCGUCUGAUUAGCUAGUUGGUGAGGUAACGGCCCACCAAGGCGACGAUCAGUAGCCGGACUGAGAGGUUGAACGGCCACAUUGGGACUGAGACACGGCCCAGACUCCUACGGGAGGCAGCAGUGAGGGAUAUUGCACAAUGGAGGAAACUCUGAUGCAGCGAUGCCGCGUGGAGGAAGAAGGUUUUCGGAUUGUAAACUCCUGUUUCGAGGGACGAUAAUGACGGUACCUCGGGAGGAAGCUCCGGCUAACUACGUGCCAGCAGCCGC
rnacentral:rRNA from 1 species